rnacentral:rRNA from 1 species
CAGUCGCCGCGGUAAUACGUAGGGUGCGAGCGUUAAUCGGAAUUACUGGGCGUAAAGCGUGCGCAGGCGGUUCGUUAAGACAGAUGUGAAAUCCCCGGGCUUAACCUGAGAACUGCAUUUGUGACUGGCGAGCUAGAGUAUGGCAGAGGGGGGUAGAAUUCCACGUGUAGCAGUGAAAUGCGUAGAGAUGUGGAGGAAUACCGAUGGCGAAGGCAGCCCCCUGGGCCAAUACUGACGCUCAUGCACGAAAGCGUGGGGAGCAAACAGGAUUAGAUACCCCCGUAGUCCCUGUCUCUUAUAC